rnacentral:rRNA from 1 species
CUGGAAGUAAAAGUCGUAACAAGGUCUCCGUUGGUGAACCAGCGGAGGGAUCAUUGCUGGAACGCGCCCCAGGCGCACCCAGAAACCCUUUGUGAACUUAUACCUUACUGUUGCCUCGGCGCAUGCUGGCCCCCUCGGGGGCCCCUCGGAGACGAGGAGCAGGCACGCCGGCGGCCAAGUUAACUCUUGUUUUUACACUGAAACUCUGAGAUAAAACACAAAUGAAUCAAAACUUUCAACAACGGAUCUCUUGGUUCUGGCAUCGAUGAAGAACGCAGCGAAAUGCGAUAAGUAAUGUGAAUUGCAGAAUUCAGUGAAUCAUCGAAUCUUUGAACGCACAUUGCGCCCUCUGGUAUUCCGGAGGGCAUGCCUGUUCGAGCGUCAUUUCAACCCUCAAGCCUGGCUUGGUGAUGGGGCACUGCCUGUAAAAGGGCAGGCCCUGAAAUCUAGUGGCGAGCUCGCCAGGACCCCGAGCGCAGUAGUUAAACCCUCGCUCUGGAAGGCCCUGGCGGUGCCCUGCCGUUAAACCCCCAACAUCUGAAAAUUGACCCUCCGGAUGCAGGUAAGAAUAC